AGCAGCUCUUUCUGGAGAUUGUUCCUGUGUGGAGUUUCUACAGCAAGCCUUAACACUGGUGAGCAUCUUGACUGUGAGCCUCAACACCGUUUCCUCCAAAGUAACAACAUAUGUGUGGAUCCAAGUUCCAGCCAGCACACCAUAUAAUCCCAAAGGCCAUAUAAAGAAAUAUCAGAGAUAAAAGCACAACAAGCCCAACUACAAAGAAGACAACAUCUAAUAACCCAAGGAACAUACAGAAAGACAAUGGGAAGGAUUGGGAGUGUUUGUUUAUAUCAGCUAAUUUAGA